rnacentral:lncRNA from 1 species
AAAAUAGAGAUAGUUGAGAAGGCACACAAAAAAUGGAGAAAAAUCCUAGGCCUAGCAUAUAGAGCAGCAUGUACCUCCCUCUUCUUCCUCACCGACUCAUCAUCAUCUUCACCACAAAAGCCAAUCUGAAACUUUCUUCUUCCUCCAUGAAAAACCAGACCCAAGGUCCCUCAAAAUAACAUGUAAAGCUCCGCAUAGACCAGCUCUGAAACCAGCCUUUAAUAGUUACAAAGGCCGCCUGAAAACACCAGAAAACAACCACUAAAACCUCCAAACACUACCUCAAAUACCCCCCAAAACAAGCAGCGAAAAACAGUAGCAAACAACCCCAAAACGUCCAAAAACCGAUCCCAAAACCAGCCCCCUAAAAUGCAGCAGAAAACACAGCUAAAAACAACCACUUUUUCUCCUUAAUUAGCAUGAAACCCAACUGAAAAUAUUGCUUGAAAUAGUCCAAAACAUCACUCAAAACCUAGCCAAAAGGCAUGCAGAAAGCAAUCUAAAAACCCAGCCAAGAGCAUCUCGAAAACGCAGCAAAAGCUGCUGCCAAGUUCACCCAAAAGAAAAAGUCCAGUGGAGCUCAAUUUUGAAGCUUUCUCAUCCAAGUUCGUCGUUUGAGGUUCGAGUUUUCAGCCGAGAUCCAUCAUCUGCGAGGUUUUCGAUCUGAGAUUAGUGAGGGUUUCGUGUCGAGUUCUCUGUUUUGCUUAUGGACAAUCACUAAUUUCCUGUUUGUUGGAUUGCAGUGUCUUCAGCUAAUAUAAGGCCCCUUUCUCUCCUUUAACAUGCUUCUUAGUUUCAUUAUAUUGGCUGCUAUUUUGUUUGCCUUAUGAAAAUUAGAUGAUAUUCUUGGUUGACUAAUAUGUCUAAAUCAUGCAUCUGUUUAUGAAUUUUUAUAGGGUAGACGUAUAUUUUGAUUUUUUAUGAAUUUGUAGUUCUAUGUAGUAGGAAGGAGCUGGUUCGAUUGUUGAAUUUGAGAUAAAACAAUUUGAAAUAUGUUGAAUUUAGAAAAGAAUCCAUGUCUGCCAAUUGAUAUCUA